GACGAACGCUGGCGGCGUGCUUAACACAUGCAAGUCGAACGGAAAGACGCUGCUUUUGUUGGGUGCUCGAGUGGCGAACGGGGGAGUAACACGUGAGUAUCAUGUCCUUGACUGUGGGAUAACUUCAGGAAAAUGGGGCGAAUAUAGGAUAGAAGCUCUUGCUGCAUGGGGUGGGAUGGAGAGUGUCGGCGUUUGUGGCUGGACUCGCGGCUUAUCAGCUGGUUGGUCGGGUAGUGGCGUAACAAGGAUUUGACGGGUAGCCGGCCUGGGAGGGUGACCGGCCACAUUGGGAUUGGGAUACGGCCAGGACUCAUACGGGAGGCAGGAGUGGAGAAUAUUGCACGCUGCGCCGAGGGCUGAUGCAGCAACGCCGCGUGCGGGAUGACGGCCUUCGGGUUGUAAACAGCGUUCGCGUGAGACGAAGCGUGAGUGACGGAAAUGGGUAAAGAAGCACCGGUUAACUACGU
rnacentral:rRNA from 1 species